rnacentral:rRNA from 1 species
UACAGAGGUCUCAAGCGUUGUUCGGAUUCAUUGGGCGUAAAGGGUGCGUAGGCGGCGCGGUAAGUCGGGUGUGAAAUCUCGGAGCUUAACUCCGAAACUGCAUUCGAUACUGCCGUGCUUGAGGACUGGAGAGGAGACUGGAAUUUACGGUGUAGCGGUGAAAUGCGUAGAUAUCGUAAGGAAGACCAGUGGCGAAGGCGGGUCUCUGGACAGUUCCUGACGUGAGCACGAAGGCCAGGGGAGCAAACGGG